GGGGAGUACGGCCGCAAGGUUGAAACUCAAAGGAAUUGACGG
rnacentral:rRNA from 1 species